AUUGAACGCUGGCGGCAUGCCUUACACAUGCAAGUCGAACGGCAGCACGGGGCAACCCGGUGGCGAGUGGCGAACGGGUGAGUAAUGCAUCGGAACGUACCUUUUAGUGGGGGAUAACGUAGCGAAAGUUACGCUAAUACCGCAUAUUCUGCGAGCAGGAAAGCAGGGGAUCGCAAGACCUUGCGCUGAUUGAGCGGCCGAUGUCAGAUUAGCUAGUUGGUGAGGUAAAGGCUCACCAAGGCGACGAUCUGUAGCGGGUCUGAGAGGAUGAUCCGCCACACUGGAACUGAGACACGGUCCAGACUCCUACGGGAGGCAGCAGUGGGGAAUUUUGGACAAUGGGGGCAACCCUGAUCCAGCCAUGCCGCGUGAGUGAAGAAGGCCUUCGGGUUGUAAAGCUCUUUCGGCCGGGAAGAAAUCGCACGGGCUAAUACCCUGUGUGGAUGACGGUACCGGAAUAAGAAGCACCGGCUAACUACGUGCCAGCCGCCGCAGUAACAC
rnacentral:rRNA from 1 species